rnacentral:rRNA from 1 species
UACGAAGGGGGCUAGCGUUGCUCGGAAUCACUGGGCGUAAAGGGCGCGUAGGCGGCCGAUUAAGUCGGGGGUGAAAGCCUGUGGCUCAACCACAGAAUUGCCUCGAUACUGGUUGGCUUGAGACCGGAAGAGGACAGCGGAACUGCGAGUGUAGAGGUGAAAUUCGUAGAUAUUCGCAAGAACACCAGUGGCGAAGGCGGCUGUCUGGUCCGGUUCUGACGCUGAGGCGCGAAAGCGCGGGGAGCGAACGGG